rnacentral:rRNA from 1 species
AUUGAACGCUGGCGGCAGGCCUAACACAUGCAAGUCGAGCGGAUGAAGGGAGCUUGCUCCUGGAUUCAGCGGCGGACGGGUGAGUAAUGCCUAGGAAUCUGCCUGGUAGUGGGGGAUAACGUCCUGAAACGGGCGCUAAUACCGCAUACGUCCUGAGGGAGAAGGUUGGGGAUCUUCGGACCUCACGCUAUCAGAUGAGCCUAGGUCGGAUUAGCUAGUUGGUGGGGUAAAGGCCUACCAAGGCGACGAUCCGUAACUGGUCUGAGAGGAUGAUCAGUCACACUGGAACUGAGACACGGUCCAGACUCCUACGGGAGGCAGCAGUGGGGAAUAUUGGACAAUGGGCGAAAGCCUGAUACAGCCAUGCCGCGUGUGUGAAGAAGGUGUUCGGAUUGUAAAGAACUUUAAGUUGGGAGGAAGGGCAGUAAGUUAAUACCUUGCUGUUUUGACGUUAACAACAGAAUAAGCACCGGCUAACUUCGUG